rnacentral:rRNA from 1 species
ACCACCUAGUAUCGUUUUAAUCGAUGGGGGGACGCAGUAGGAUAGGCGAAGCGUGCUGUUGGAGUGCACGUCCAAGCAGUAAGGCUGAGUGUUAGGCAAAUCCGGCACUCAUAAGGCUGAGCUGUGAUGGGGAGAGGAAAUUGUUUCCUCGAGUCGUUGAUUUCACACUGCCGAGAAAAGCCUCUAGAUAGAUAACAGGUGCCCGUACCGCAAACCGACACAGGUAGUCAAGAUGAGAAUUCUAAGGUGAGCGAGCGAACUCUCGUUAAGGAACUCGGCAAAAUGACCCCGUAACUUCGGGAGAAGGGGUGCUCUUUAGGGUUCACGCCCAGAAG